CAGGGUUAAUAACCAGAUAAAAUCGAUGAUGGAUUAUAAUGAUGGUAAUAAUCUUAUACCUAGACGAAUUAUGAUGAUGAUGAUCGACUGUGUCUGAUCGAAUUUUUAACGUCUGUGGCUAGAACGAGAAUUAGGUACUGACAAUAGUAUAAUGUGUUUCUAUUUGUUUUAUGUUCCAACGCUGGUAAUAUGGCUGAUCGGAUGAAAUUGAUGAUUUGGAAGAGCCUCGCUGCAAGAGCACACUGAUGUAAAGAAGGUUAAAUCUGAUAGAUGGUGGAGCCACUGCCAGCGGACCGAGUGCCAAGCUGCUGGUGAUCAGGGUCGCAGAGUCGCCGUACUGCAGUGCCGUGUACUUACACGAUAAGGAAGCGAAUCUCUCUAUAUGUGCAUUGAUUGAGAGUGUCGAGAUUCAAUGUAAUAAGAUUAAUAGCUGGCACGACUAUACUAGUCUUUAUAUACAUAUUGUAAAAUCUUAAUUGAGUGCCGAGUUAUGGCAGUGUGUAGUCUAGACCAGGCCAUGAUAGUAGGUAAAACAAACAAAGCUAUGUAUAGAUUGUGACUUAUGUCGAUUCGAAGAUUCUUGUAAUGUAAGCUUGUUGCGUGAAUCAAAUUUUAAACAAAAUAUUGAUAGGUAAAUUUAUGUUGGAAAACUGCUCAGAACAGGCCUUAAAGGCAGACUGUCUGGGGCAGGCCCUGAUUGUUGAUGAUGAUAUUAUUUGCCAUAACAAACAUAUAAGAUUGAAAAGGUUAAUACCUUUUGAUUGAUUGAUUAUGAUGAAUGAAGGAGCAGACUGUCUGGAACAGGUCCUGACUGGGUUGGGCCUAACAUUCUAGAGCAGGCCGUGAAGGCAGACUGUCUAGAACAGGCUAGGAUACCAGUUUGGCAUUCUAGAGCAGGCCGUUAUGGCAGACUGUCUAGACCACACCAGUCUAGAGCAGGCCAUACCAAAUUAUAAAAUUAUAUUGAUUGAUUAGGUUGAAUGAAGUAGCAGACUGUCUGGAACAGGUUUGGGUAGUAGCCUGACAUUCUAGAGCAGGCCGUGAAGGCAGACUGUCUAGAACAGGCUAUAAUACCAUCUUGACACUCUAGAGCAGGCCGAUAUGGCAGACUGUCUAGGCCACACCAGUCUAGAGCAGGCCAUAAUUUAAUUGAUUGAUCGGCAGACCGCCUUGAUUAGUCAAGAACGGGCCAUAACAAAUUAUAUUUUGUUGAUGAAAAGAGCAGGCCUUAAAGGCAGACUGCGGAUGUUUAUGGCAUAAUAUCUCUUAUUAAUAUGUUCAAAACAAGCCUUUAGGUUGACUGUUAAUGAUAUAUACUUUGUUAAUAUAAUUAGAACAGGCUUGUAAGCAGACUGAUUAUUAGUGAUAUAAUAUACUUUAUUAAUAUGAUAAGAGCAGGCCUAGUCUAGUAGGCAGACUGUGAUGUUAAUUAGAAAAUAUACUUUUGCUAAUAUGUUAUACUUUGGAACCGGCCUUGAAGGCAGACUGAGAUAGUUAAUGAUAUAAUAUAAAAACCUCGAUAAUAUGAUUAGAAUUGACUUUGUAAGCUGAAUGUGACUAUUAAUGAUAUAUUAUACUUAGUCAAUACUUAAAUAACAAGCCUAGUAGGCAGAGAUUGAUAAUGAUGUUUUAUAUACUUUGAUAAAA
rnacentral:lncRNA from 1 species